rnacentral:rRNA from 1 species
AGAGUUUGAUCCUGGCUCAGGAUGAACGCUAGCGGCAGGCUUAACACAUGCAAGUCGAGGGGCAUCGCGGGGUAGCAAUACCCUGGCGGCGACCGGCGAAAGGGUGCGUAACGCGUGAGCGACAUGCCCGUCACAGGGGGAUAACCGGCGGAAACGCCGCCUAAUACCCCAUAUGAGGCCAGGCCACAUGGCCGGGCCUUGAAAGUCAAGGCGGUGACGGAUUGGCUCGCGUCCGAUUAGCCAGUUGGCGGGGCAACGGCCCACCAAGGCGACGAUCGGUAGGGGUUCUGAGAGGAAGGCCCCCCACAAUGGAACUGAGACACGGUCCAUACUCCUACGGGAGGCAGCAGUGAGGAAUAUUGGUCAAUGGGCGGAAGCCUGAACCAGCCAUGCCGCGUGCAGGAAUGAGGCCCUACGGGUCGUGAACUGCUUUUCGCGCGGAGCAAUAAGGGGGGUUCGUCCCUCCGAUGAGAGUACGCGC